UACCGAGUUGCAAACUCCCAAACCCACGCGUACCUUACCUUAUGUCGUUGCUUCGGCGGCGCCGCCCCGGGGUGCUCCGGCACCCGGGGGUGCCCGCCGGAGGUUCCGAAAACUCUCUGUAUCACUGUGGACUCUCUGAGAAAAAAACACAAUAAUCAAAACUUUCAACAACGGAUCUCUUGGUUCUGGCAUCGAUGAAGAACGCGGCGAAAUGCGAUAAGUAAUGUGAAUUGCAGAAUUCAGUGAAUCAUCGAAUCUUUGAACGCACAUUGCGCCCGCCAGCAUUCUGGCGGGCAUGCCUGUCCGAGCGUCAUUUCAACCCUCAGGCCCUGCCUGGCGUUGGGGCACCGCGCAGCGCGCGCGGGCCCUGAAAUACAGUGGCGAGCCCGCCUGGACUCCGAGCGUAGUAGUGUAAAAGCCUCGCUCAGGGCGUCCCGGCGCGCGUCGGCCGUAAAACCCCCAACUUCCACAAGGUUGACCUCGGAUCAGGUAGGAAUACCCGCUGAACUUAAGCAUAUCAAUAAGCGGAG
rnacentral:rRNA from 1 species